ACCCGCACAAGCGGUGGAUGAUGUGGAUUAAUUCGAUGCAACGCGAAGAACCUUACCUACCCUUGACAUGUCCGGAACUUGCCAGAGAUGGCUUGGUGCCCGAAAGGGAAUCGGAACACAGGUGCUGCAUGGCUGUCGUCAGCUCGUGUCGUGAGAUGUUGGGUUAAGUCCCGCAACGAGCGCAACCCUUAUCAUUAGUUGCUACGCAAGGGCACUCUAAUGAGACUGCCGGUGACAAACCGGAGGAAGGUGGGGAUGACGUCAAGUCCUCAUGGCCCUUAUGGGUAGGGCUUCACACGUCAUACAAUGGUCGGUACAGAGGGUUGCCAAGCCGCGAGGCGGAGCCAAUCCCACAAAGCCGAUCGUAGUCCGGAUUGUUCUCUGCAACUCGAGAGCAUGAAGUCGGAAUCGCUGGUAAUCGCAGGUCAGCAUACUGCGGUGAAUACGUUCCCGGGCCUU
rnacentral:rRNA from 1 species